rnacentral:rRNA from 1 species
GAUGAACGCUGGCGGCGUGCCUAAUACAUGCAAGUCGAGCGAACGGACGAGACGCUUGCUUUUCUGAUGUUAGCGGCGGACGGGUGAGUAACACGUGGAUAACCUACCUAUAAGACUGGGAUAACUUCGGGAAACCGGAGCUAAUCCCGGAUAAUAUUUUGAACCGCAUGGUUCAAAAGUGAAAGACGGUCUUGCUGUCACUUAUAGAUGGAUCCGCGCUGCAUUAGCUAGUUGGUAAGGUAACGGCUUACCAAGGCAACGAUGCAUAGCCGACCGGAGAGGGUGAUCGGCCACACUGGAACUGAGCCACGGUCCAGACUACUACGGGAGGCAGCAGAAGGGAAUCUUCCGCAAUGGGCGAAAGCCUGACGGAGCAACGCCGCGUGAGUGAUAAAGGUAUGCGGAUCGUAAAACUCUGUUAUUAGGGAAGAACAUAUGUGUAAGUAACUGUGCACAUCUUGACGGUACCUAAUCAGAAAGCCACGGCUAACUACGUG